CAACUCCACUGAGAGGGUCCUGCAGAGCCUGCUGGAUCCUUGUUCAAGAAGAGCAGCCUGGGCCCCUUCUCCUUGAGUGGCAGACUGGUCUCCCUCAGUGGCUCCAGGCUCUGCACCCUGGAGUUUAUGCAUGCAGAGAGAGCACCAGCUACAUUUCCGCAGCAUCAGCUGGAACCUCAGCAACCUGGAGCCCACAUCCUCGGAGUACACCGCCCUGCAGA